rnacentral:tRNA from 1 species
GGAUUGUGGCUCAGUGGUACAGCACUCGCCUAGCAUGUGUGAGGCACUGGGUUGGAUCCUCAGCACCA